rnacentral:lncRNA from 1 species
AAGCAAAACAACUCCAGCACAUGCAGUAUAUAUAUAUUGAUUUUAUUUAUCAUACAAAAAACAAAUCCACACAAUAUCAUACAUAUAUAAUUAAUCAUAUAUACCACUACUACCCUACAUUAUAUAUGACAAUUAAAACAAUCCCAAUGCCACUUAUUUAAAUAAAUAAAUAAACAAACAAACAAAGCCUGAUCUCCCAUGUCAAAUAAUUAACAAACAAAAUUAAUCUCUAUAAGCUAGAGAAAAAGUUUCCCCAAGAUGGACUUGGAGUCCAAGUUUAAGAAUUUACUGAUCAAAUAGAACAGCAAUAAGAGAGAACAAAACAGAAAAACAAAUCAGUUCCCCGGAAACUGGCAUUGCCAACUCCUCUCCGGUGUCGGGUAAAGGUGCCAGGGCGCCGCUAUCUUGGGCGGAUACUUGCAACAAUGCCGCCGCCAUGGCCACGACCAGAAUGAACAUUUUAAUGUUAACUUGAGAGGUACCAAAAUGUGCCAUUUUUGUUAACAACAUUAAUUAAUACAGAACAAAUUAAAUGGGCUAGCUAGCUAGUCGUCUAUAUAUAUAUAUA